UCCCAGGCUUCUCCAUGAAUGCCGAAUGUGUGGCUCUUGUCAGCCUAUCCUUUGCAUACCCAAAGGAUGAAAUCAAAUAUUAGUUGUCAGGGCACGCAGACAAUCGGAAUGGUGUGUCCCGACGUAAUGUCAAUUUAGAAUCUCACCAUAUGAUACAAGUCACUUUUCAGUUUGCGAGGCAUGCAUGGAUGUAUUACCCUUCCAUGGGGGGCUCAUUAGACUUGCAGGUCCCUACAAGUUUUGUCCGCAUUUAGGGAGAAGAUAACGAAGACAGCUCCUUUCGGGCCAUGCAUUCUGUCCCCAGAAGAAGGAUGACAACACAGCUUGCGCAGCUUUCAGAUUUAGCCCACAGAAAGAUGCUGCCAGGAGAUGGGUGUGCAGGUUUGGACCAAACUGUUCAAGUGGGAAGAGAUGGACUUCUCUCGUCUCCGUCUCCUUCACAUCUUCUCUUUGUGGGCUCGCUGUCCUCCGGCACCUUUAUCUUCUCUGGUCCUCCUUAUUCAUUGCAAGAGUGUCAUGCUUGAGUUGAAGCUCUCCUUUGGUGCCCAUUAAAACAAACACAGGCAAUACAUGCUGGUGUUCACGACAUAUCACAUCAUUGUAG
rnacentral:lncRNA from 1 species